GACGAACGCUGGCGGCGCGCUUAACACAUGCAAGUCGAGCGAAGCGGCGGACGGGUGAGUAACACGUGAGUAACCUGCCUUAGACAUUGGGAUAGCCUCGGGAAACCGGGAUUAAUACCAAAUGGUCUAAGAUGGACUCGCGUCCCAUUAGCUAGUUGGUGGGUAACGGCCCACCAAGGCGACGAUGGGUAGCCGGCCUGAGAGGGGGAACGGCCACAUUGGAACGGAGAAACGGGCCAGACUGGAGGGAAGGGAGCAGUGCGGAAUAUUGCACAAUGGAGUGAACUCGGAUGCGGCGACGCCGCGGGAACGAAGAAGGCUUUCGAGCCGUACAGUGCUUUUAUAUGGGAAGCGGUACCAUAAGAAAAAGCCCCGGCUAACUACGUGCCAGCAGCCGCGGUAAUAC
rnacentral:rRNA from 1 species